rnacentral:pre_miRNA from 1 species
AGCUUUCUGAAUCCGUACAGAGAUUUCGUUAAAUACCAACCCAUUAGGGCUGAUCAGACUUUCAAGACAAGUGAAGUU